rnacentral:rRNA from 1 species
CAGCACCUCAAGUGGUCAGGAUGAUUAUUGGGCCUAAAGUAUCCGUAGCCGGCGCUGUAAGUUUUCGGUUAAAUCUGUACGCUCAACGUACAGGCUACCGGGAAUACUGCAGCGCUAGGGAGUGGGAGAGGUAGACGGUACUCGGUAGGAAGGGGUAAAAUCCUUUGAUCUAUUGAUGACCACCUGUGGCGAAGGCGGUCUACCAGAACACGUCCGACGGUGAGGGAUGAAAGCUGGGGGAGCAAACCGGAUUAGAUACCCGAGUAGUCC